UAGUCCACGCCGUAAACGAUGUUCACUCGCUGUUGGCGAUAUACUGUCAGCGGCCAAGCGAAAGCAUUAAGUGAACCACCUGGGGAGUACGAUCGCAAGGUUGAAACUCAAAGGAAUUGACGGGGGCCCGCACAAGCGGUGGAGGAUGUGGCUUAAUUCGAGGCUACGCGAAGAACCUUAUCCUAGAUUUGACAUGCUUAAGAGUCUCCAUGAAAGUGGAGAGUGCCCUUCGGGGAGCUUUUGCACAGGUGCUGCAUGGCUGUCGUCAGCUCGUGUCGUGAGAUGUCGGGUUAAGUCCCGCAACGAGCGCAACCCUCACUUUUAGUUGCCAGCAUUUAGUUGGGCACUCUAGAAGAACUGCCGGUGCUAAGCCGGAGGAAGGUGGGGAUGACGUCAAGUCCUCAUGGCCCUUACGGGUAGGGCUACACACGUGCUACAAUGGCGCUGACAGAGGGUUAAUCCCUAAAAGGCGUCUCAGUUCGGAUUGUCCUCUGCAA
rnacentral:rRNA from 1 species